rnacentral:misc_RNA from 1 species
CACGGGUUGAACAGGGCUUGUUCGAGAUGCUGCCGGUAACCACCAAGAGUAUCUAUUUUGGGCUGAAAUCAUUCCGCACGAAGACCUGACAAGGGGUAGACCUGUAGGCCCUUACUUUCAAUUAAAACGUUUGAAAUUAUACAAUGAGCAGGUUCAAGUUUUUUUCGAAAAUAGCUCGACUUAGCGCUGUUUCUAUUUAGACAAAGAAUUGGGGCCCUUAGGACAAGAAUCGUUGAGGCUUAGGCAAACACGAAAGUACGACACGUGUAGAUACCUGAGCAAAGAGGAUCUGAGGGAUAAACUG